CCUACGGGAGGCAGCAGUGGGGAAUAUUGCGCAAUGGGCGAAAGCCUGACGCAGCGACGCCGCGUGAGGGAUGAAGGUCUUCGGAUCGUAAACCUCUGUCAGCAGGGAAGAACGGUCACUGUGCUAAUCAGCAGUGACUUGACGGUACCUGACCAAGAAGCCCCGGCUAACGACGUGCCAGCAGCCGCGGUAAUACGUAGGGGGCAAGCGUUAUCCGGAUUUACUGGGUGUAAAGGGGGCGCAGACGGCAAUGCAAGCCAGGAGUGAAAGCCCGGGGCCCAACCCCGGGACUGCUCUUGGGACUGGAUUGCUGGAGUACAGGAGGGGCAGGCGGAAUUCCUAGUGUAGCGGUGAAAUGCGUAGAUAUUAGGAGGAACACCGGUGGCGAAGGCGGCCUGCUGGACUGUGACUGACGUUGAGGCCCGAAGGCGUGGGGAGCAAACAGGAUUAGAUACCCGAGUAGUC
rnacentral:rRNA from 1 species